rnacentral:rRNA from 1 species
UACGGAGGGUGCAAGCGUUGUUCGGAAUCACUGGGCGUAAAGGGCGUGUAGGCGGUCCGCUAAGUCUGAUGUGAAAGCCCGAGGCUUACCCUCGGAAGUGCGUUGGAGACUGGCGGACUGGAGUCCCGGAGAGGAGGGUGGAAUUCCUGGUGUAGCGGUGAAAUGCGUAGAUAUCAGGAGGAACACCGGUGGCGAAGGCGGCCCUCUGGACGGUGACUGACGCUGAGACGCGAAAGCGUGGGGAGCAAACAGG